rnacentral:rRNA from 1 species
GGCGAGUGGCGAACGGUGAGUAAUAUAUCGGAACGUACCUUCAGUGGGGAGUAACGUAGCGAAGUUACGCUAAUACCGCAUAUUCUGUGAGCAGGAAAGCAGGGGAUCGCAAGACCUUGCGCUGAUUGAGCGGCCGAUAUCAGAUUAGCUAGUUGGUGAGGUAAAGGCUCACCAAGGCGACGAUCUGUAGCGGGUCUGAGAGGAUGAUCCGCCACACUGGAACUGAGACACGGUCCAGACUCCUACGGGAGGCAGCAGUGGGGAAUUUUGGACAAUGGGCGCAAGCCUGAUCCAGCCAUGCCGCGUGAGUGAAGAAGGCCUUCGGGUUGUAAAGCUCUUUCGGCCGGGAAGAAAUCGCACAGGUUAAUACCCUGUGUGGAUGACGGUACCGGAAUAAGAAGCACCGGCUAACUACGUG